GUGCACCAGUCGAGAAUUUUUCUCAAUGGGGGAAACCCUGAAGGAGCGACGCCGCGUGGGAGGAUGAAGGUCGUUCGGUUGUAACUCCUGUCAUUUGGGAACAAGUCGCUUACGUUAACUGCGUGAGCGUUGAUAGUACCAGAAGAGGAAGAGACGGCUAACUCUGUGCCAGCAGCCGCGGUAAUACAGAGGUCUCAAGCGUUGUUCGGAUUCAUUGGGCGUAAAGGGUGUGUAGGUGGCGCCGUAAGUCGGGUGUGAAAUCUCGGGGCUUAACUCCGAAACUGCAUUCGAUACUGCGGUGCUUGAGGACUGGAGAGGAGACUGGAAUUCAUGGUGUAGCAGUGAAAUGCGUAGAGAUCAUGAGGAAGACCAGUGGCGAAGGCGGGUCUCUGGACAGUUCCUGACACCGAGACACGAAGGCCAGGGGAGCAAACGGGAUUA
rnacentral:rRNA from 1 species